UCCAGACCGUCCCACUUUAAUUCCAAUUAACCAAUUCCUCUUCUCCAAUUUUCAAUCGACCCAUCCCACUCUUUCACUCAUAACCCGACCCAAUUUCUUCAGCAGAGAAACCCAUCAAUUCUUUUCUCCUCUUUCACGUUAACAAUAACAAUACACAACAUCUCACAAGGCGACAACAAGAACGGAUAUAAACGCCACGAAAUACAAGCGGUAGCAGACGAUGCUUUCACGCCUCGAAACGGCGUCAAUGGUACAGCUCUAUCUGCGUCUCCCUCAACUCGUACAACAGAAGCAGAUAUGCUUUUCAAUCCUGCCAGCCACGUCUCGUCCUUGACUCGCGUGGAUGGACGCCACGUCGAGUGUCAAGGACGACCAACCGAUCAAGAUCGUCCGCGUCCUUUUCACUGGAAAUCGGGAUUCUCGUACAAAUAACAGCUUUUCCCCAUCCUUUGGAAAGAGAUUCAAAUGGAGAUGGGAAUUUCAGAAUUCCUAUUCUCGCCUUUUCCCCCCAAAAUCGAAAACCCUAGACUGCCCCCUAUAUAUCUUCCUUCUUCUUCAUUGUAAGUGUUGGAAUUUUUUUAACUUAGGCAACGAAAAUAGCUAAAACACCAUACUAAAUAUACUUCAAGGAAAAAUAGAGGAGAUACCUUUUUUUUUGUGCUUGGGUUUGAUAAUCUUGCCCAAACUUCUCGGCUACUGUUCGUGCUCGAGUUUCCAUGGUGAAGGUUGUCUUUUCGCUUAUUUGGUCUCUGUUUCGCUGCCCCGAAAAAGACUCCGUUUUACUUUUCCGCUUUUCGAGAGAGUCGUAAAGACUCAAAUUCCUUUAUCGAGUCAGCCAACCAGCUGUAAAAAAUCGACGAACAGGUCCCAGUGUUGAAAAAAUAUGAAGCAGAUUGGAGAAUUGAAAAGAUUGGGCCAAAGGCCCACUCUUAGUUCCAAAAUUGUAUUUUGUUGCUUUUGGGCGUAAGCCCACUCACUUAUUAUUAUUUCUGUUAGAAGCUUAGGACAGGUGAAAGAAUUGGGCCUAAGGCCCAAAGAAAAAAUAUUCCUUUUAUGUUAGUUUAGGACAUGUGCAGGUGACUCAAAUGGGCCAAGGGCCCAAAUCUUCUCUCCCUAUCUCAUUUAUUUGUUAUUAUG